UACGAAGGGGGCUAGCGUUGCUCGGAAUGACUGGGCGUAAAGGGCGCGUAGGCGGUUUGGACAGUCAGAUGUGAAAUUCCUGGGCUCAACCUGGGGGCUGCAUUUGAUACGUUCAGACUAGAGUGGGGAAGAGGGUCGUGGAAUUCCCAGUGUAGAGGUGAAAUUCGUAGAUAUUGGGAAGAACACCGGUGGCGAAGGCGGCGACCUGGUCCUUGACUGACGCUGAGGCGCGAAAGCGUGGGGAGCAAACAGG
rnacentral:rRNA from 1 species